rnacentral:rRNA from 1 species
CCUACGGGCGGCAGCAGUGGGGAAUAUUGCACAAUGGGGGAAACCCUGAUGCAGCGACGCCGCGUGAGUGAAGAAGUAAUUCGUUAUGUAAAGCUCUAUCAGCAGGGAAGAAAAUGACGGUACCUGAGUAAGAAGCCCCGGCUAACUACGUGCCAGCAGCCGCGGGAAUACGUAGGGGGCAAGCGUUAUCCGGAUUUACUGGGGGUAAGGGGAGCGUAGACGGCAGUGCAAGUCUGGAGUGAAAGCCGGGGGCUCAACCCCAGGACUGCGUUGGAAACUGGACGGCUGGAGUGCAGGAGAGGUAAGUGGAAUUCCAAGUGUAGCGGUGAAAUGCGUAGAUAUUAGGAGGAACACCAGUGGCGAAGGCGGCUUACUGGACUGUAACUGACGUUGAGGUUCGAAAGCGUGGGGAGCAAACAGGAUUAGAUACCCGGGUAGUC